GGCACAGAAAUACAUGAUCAAUUAUUUAAUGCAUUUUAUUUCAAAAAUAUAAAAUAUAUAUUUUAUAAAGAUAUAUUUAUGAUAUUUAAAUAAAAUAUUGUUAGGAAUAAAAUUUAUAGGAAUCUUGAUUUUAUUAUAUUUAUAAAUAAUAAAAAAUAGAUUAAAAGUAGAAUUUUCACAACAUUUUUGAUAGAUGCUGUUAAAUAAACUAUUUGAUACAUGUUUUAGAUACUUUCUAGGGUUUAUUGCUGCUACUUUAUAGCAUAGUUCACGUUUAAACAAGCAGCUUGGCCCAAACAAACUGAGUUUAAAGAGCGUCCCAUUCGGGACGGGUUGCGAAUGAGAUCCAGCAGCAGUUCGGUGGGAGGUCCCUUUAAGUUUCCAUUGAGGGAGGCCGCACUAUGUCACAUGAUGAACAUGAUAUAAUAAAACAGCGAACAGAAAAGUGUGUGUGUCCAUGACUACAAAAUAAGACUAAAGCAACGCAGUCGGCCAGUACACGCCCCAUUUUCAGAGAUGGGGCUACUGGAGCUGCAGUGUUCCCAACAUCACCCAGUGAUGAUUUCGUAGUGCGGACCGGACUGCACCUGCUGCCACGCAUAAAACGUACUUCACAGAAACGCAAGAGGACGCAUGAAGUUAUCUGCGACUCCUUCAUAUGAUGAAUGACACAGUUAACGCAAACUCCUCGCGCGCAUGUGAGAACUGAGAAAUGUGCGGAUUGAGCAACAAAGGCUUCUCAGGUUGGCAGGGAGAGUGCGGUGAUGGCCGAUAUUUGUGUCCCGAGUUCCCUGUUCCCAAUGUGCUGAAUGGGAGAGGAAUGCGCCCGGGCAAGCAAAGCUGGCAAGGCCCCUACCCGAGACCUCUGCUGCCUAAUGUGAACUCAUAUCUCACUCGGGAUGCUUUCCACAAAGAGCAACUCUCCACGGGCACUGUGUUCUGCCCUACUCAAAACCUCAUCUAUCAAGAGUGAGGUCUGAGUGUGUUUGCAUGUGAGAGAGCUGGAGAGCUACUGUGGCUUGGCUUUCAAAGUGACCAGCAUAAAGAGGAUACAUUUUCACAGAGUAAUGACACAAGCUCGAAUUGGCAGCGGUCGGCGAAAACUCUUUGAUUCCACCAAGCCGGAGAGCACAACGCGUUCCUUAUGCAGAGGACAUGGUUCGGUCAGCAUAACGCAGUAAACUUUCACAAAAAAUGUAAAAUGGUAUAGGCAACUGCCAUAUUAGUGCAGUUUUAAAAAUCCACUACAGUUUACCCAACACAGCUUUUUUUAUUUUAGCCAUUUUCUCAAUGAAAGAAACAAUGUGAGCAAGAAAUUCCAAGUCAAAUUACUUUCUUGAACCAUUUAGCCAACAUUUUUAUUGAGACUUGUAAUGCAUAACAAUGAGUCAUUUUUGCUGGACUCUUUCUUUUGGACAGAACUGAAAUGAUUCUGGUAAAUUCUGAAAAUAAUUGUUCUGCUACAGACAGUCCCUUUACAGGCUUUUUUUGUUUUGUUUUGUUUUGGUGGUGAGUGGAGAUUAUUGUUGUAGAAACUUCCUUGGUGGUGCAGUAUUGACUUGUUUUCCAACUAAUGAAAGGAACCAGGCAGGGUGUUUGUCUAGUUGGAAUCCAAGGCCUUUUGGGGCGAGUGAAAAUCAGGUCAGUUCCACUGGGUCAUUUCAGCCAGAGGAAAGCUACCCUCAUCCCAUAUUUAAAACCAUCCCCUCUCUCUUUCUCCUUCCUCUCUUUGUCAUCUGCAUGCCCCUGAUGCAAAGUAAACAAACCAAAAGGCGUGAAACCAUACAAACAAAUCAAUGAGGUCUAUUGUCCAUGGCCAGUUCUUCAAAAUGCUUUUUCCCCUGCAGCACAGCCUCAUUUUAAAAAAGUUAGAGUAUUUCCUUCUCAUUACCACUAGCUCUUGCAUUUCUAACCAUAUCAUUCAGAUGACUUUCCGUAACCAGUAAAAAUGCUUUCCGUCAGGCUAAAUAUCA
ensembl:lncRNA